CAACUGAAGAGUUUGAUCCUGGCUCAGCGCGAACGCUGGCGGCAUGGCUAAAACAUGCAAGUCGAACGCGAAAGCCCCUUCGGGGGCAAGUAGAGUGGCGAAAGGGCGAGGAAUGCGUUCCUACGUACCCCCAGGUCAGGGACAGUCCAGGGAAACUUGGCUUAAUACCUGAUGUGGUCUCCGGAUCAAAGGCUUCGGCCGCCCGGGGAGCGGGGAACGUCCUAUCAGGUUGUUGGUGAGGUAACGGCUCACCAAGCCAAAGACGGGUAGCGGGUGUGAGAGCAUGACCCGCCGCAUCGGGACUGAGACACUGCCCGGACUCCUACGGGAGGCUGCAGUAACGAAUCUUCCGCAAUGCGCGAAAGCGUGACGGAGCAAUGCCGCGUGCAGGAUGAAGCUUCUCGGAGUGUAAACUGCUGUCAGGGUUCAGCAACUCAAUGAGCAGACCCAAAGGAAGGGCCGGCUAACUUCGUGCCAGCAGCCGCGGUAAUACGAAGGGCCCGAGCGUUGCGCGGAAUUAUUGGGCUUAAAGCGUACGUAGGCGGACGUGCAGGCGUCUUGUGAAAUCCCUCGGCUCAACCGAGGAACUGCUGGACGAACCGCACGUCUUGAGGCAAGUAGGGGCUGUCGGAACGAUAGGUGGAGUGGUGAAAUGCGUUGAUAUCUAUCGGAACGCCGAAGGAGAAAUCAGACAGCUGGGCUUGUCCUGACGCUGAGGUACGAAAGCGUGGGGAGCGAACGGGAUUAGAUACCCCGGUAGUCCACGCCGUAAACGAUGUGCACUAGAUCGAGGGGAUUCUGACAUCGCUCUCGGUCGAAGCGAAAGUGUUAAGUGCACCGCCUGGGGAGUACGGUCGCAAGGCUAAAACUCAAAGGAAUUGACGGGGGCUCACACAAGCGGUGGAGCAUGUGGCUUAAUUCGAAGCAACGCG
rnacentral:rRNA from 1 species